CCUACGGGGGGCAGCAGUCGAGAAUCAUUCACAAUGGGGGAAACUCUGAUGGUGCGACGCCGCGUGGGGGAAUGAAGGUCUUCGGAUUGUAAACCCCUGUCAUGUGGGAGCAAAUUAAAAAGAUAGUACCACAAGAGGAAGAGACGGCUAACUCUGUGCCCGCAGCCGCGGUAAUACAGAGGUCUCAAGCGUUGUUCGGAAUCACUGGGCGUAAAGCGUGCGUAGGCAGUUUCGUAAGUCGUGUGUGAAAGGCGCGGGCGCAACCCGCGGACGGCGUACGAUACUGCGAGACUAGAGUAAAGUAGGGGGAACCGGAAUUCUCGGUGUAGCAGUGAAAUGCGUAGAUA
rnacentral:rRNA from 1 species